GCACCACCAUCCUUGCUGUCCAGUAGAUCGCGCCACUUGCUCGCAGUCCCGAUGCGCGUAGCUCCGAUCUAGCACGCAUCGCUCGGGUCCAUCUAGUGCUCCUCCCGGAUAGAAUCAAAACUAGAGCUUCGCUCUCCAACACAGUACUAGGAAGCAGCUGAUUCGAUUUGAAAGCUCUGCAAUCUUCUCCGCAGAGUUAUAAAUGUAAAACUUUAUAUUUUUGGUUAUUUAAUUUUGGUUGUAUAGUUACUCUUUUAUCAGAUUAUUA